UUCUCAAUUAAAAAUUAAACACUAUUUUUCAAUGAAUUUGUUUCACUACUUUUGGUGUUGUUUCAAUUAUCGGAUGAACCGCAACUAUCGAUUACUGUAACCGCUCACCACUGACCACUCACCACUAGCUCUACAGUACAAGCAACAUUUGGCAUCUCUACUGUUUAUCAUUUUCUUCAUCCGUUGAAGUGAUGGAUUUGAGUGAUAAUAGCCAAGUGGAAGAUCCAUACUUUGUUUACAAGCAUGAUCAGCUAUUCGGCGAGAGUUUCCCCCUGUUCAAGGAGAUCCGCAGAAUGGGCAAGCUGUGCGAUGUCACCCUAAAGGUUGAAGAUCAGACCUUCUCAGCGCAUCGCAUUGUGCUGGCGGCCACCAUCCCGUACUUCUAUGCGAUGUUCACUAACAACAUGGCAGAGAGUCGGAUCAAGGAGAUCACCAUGAAGGAGAGCGCCAUAGAGCCAAGUGCCCUGGAGAGCCUGAUCAACUAUGUUUACAGCGGCCAAGUGCGCAUCGACAACCAGAAUGUACAGAGCCUGAUGGUGGGCGCCAGCUUCCUGCAAUUGUCCAACGUGCGAGAUGCCUGUGCCAGUUUCCUGAUCUCCCGCUUUCAUCCGAACAAUGUCCUGGGAAUCCGCACCUUCGCUGACUCCAUGAUCUGUCGCCAGCUAAUUGACGCUGCCGACAAGUACAUUGAUCAAAACUUUGCCAAAGUCUCGCAGUCGGAGGAGUUUCUCGCCCUGGACUGCGAACAACUGCUGGAGCUGAUGCACCGGGACGAACUCAACGUACGCAGCGAAGAGGUCAUCUUCGAGGCCUGCGUGAAGUGGGUCAAGUUCGCACAAGACAAGCGCUCUGAGCUCUUUCCCAAGGUUCUGGCUGCAGUGCGUUUACCCUUGCUCUCGCCGCAGUUCCUGGCGGACCGUGUGGCACGCGAGGAACUCAUUCAAUCCUCGCACCAAUGCCGUGAUCUCCUAGACGAGGCCAAGGACUUUCACCUCAUGCCCGAGCGCAGGAGUAUGCUGCAGAGCUUUUGCACGCGCCAGAGAUCCGGUGAGUUCUUUACCGGACAAAUAUACGCCGUGGGAGGAUUGGCCAGCACCGGUGAAUCUGUGAGCACUGUGGAGAUUUACGAUCCGCUCACCAAAAAAUGGAAAAUGGGCGAACAAAUGUCCAUGAUGAGAUCUCGCGUGGGUGUCGCCGUUCUGAAUGGCAAACUGUACGCCUUUGGUGGAUUCAAUGGCACCGAACGUCUGUCCACCGUUGAGGUCUACGACCCGCGCAAAAACAAGUGGUCCCAGGGCUGUGCCAUGCUCUGCAAACGCAGCGCCGUGGGCGUGGCCGCAUUGGAUGACUGUAUCUAUGUGUGCGGCGGCUACGACGGCGUCACGUCCCUCAACACCGUUGAAGUUUACUAUCCAAAGUCGAAUACUUGGAAGACUGUUGCUCAAAUGAUGAAAUAUCGCUCGGCUGGUGGAGUUACCCAAUUGAACGGCUAUGUCUACGCCCUUGGCGGUCAUGAUGGGUUGUCUAUAUUCGAUUCGGUGGAGCGGUACGACCAGGCGGAAAAUGUCUGGGUGAAGAUGUCGCCCAUGCUGAAUCGUCGCUGUAGACUGGGCGUGGCCACGCUGAACGGAAAGAUAUACGUGUGCGGCGGCUACUGCGGCAACUCAUUCCUUCGAUCCGUUGAGUGCUACGACCCCCAGACGGACACCUGGAAGCUGGUGACACCCAUGAAUUGCAAACGCUCGCGGGUGGCACUGGCCGCCAACAUGGGCAAACUAUGGGCCAUCGGCGGCUAUGAUGGCGAGUCAAAUUUGUCUACAGUCGAGGUGUACGAUCCGGAGACCGACAAAUGGACCUUUAUGCCGCCCAUGUGCGCCCACAGUGGUGGUGUCGGAGCCGGGGUCAUACGGAUCGAGUAGCCCACUCGAUUCGCCGGCCAAACCCGUUUCUCUAGCCACACUCGUCUUAGUAAAGGGACUUUCAACCUUUUGCACAUCGUAUAAAUCAAUUGUGUUUCGACGAUCCAUAUGGGCGGCGGAUACGUUUUAUUUGCACAAUAAUAAAUGGUUGACAAAUAACAAAGCAAUCUGAGCGACAAAAAGGCGAAUACGGCGAGGGCAGCGCAAAAAGUUGAUGGUCAAAGAGCAGACCUUUAUGAGAGGCAUUGCAAUUGUUUAUUGUGCAUAAAUUACUUCCAGUUUUAAUUGAAAGUGAUUAAAUAUUAUUAUCCAAA
rnacentral:misc_RNA from 1 species